AUUGAACGCUGGCGGCAGGCCUAACACAUGCAAGUCGAGCGAGCGGCGGACGGGUGAGUAAUGUAUGGGGACUGCCCGAUAGAGGGGGAUAACUACUGGAAACGGUGGCUACUACCGCAUACUAUCGGAUAACCCAUAUGGGAUUGGCUAGUAGGUGGGGUUAAGGCUCACCUAGGCGACGAUCUCUCGCUGGUCUGUGAGGAUGAUCAGGCCAACUGGGACUUGGACACGGCCCAGACUCCUACGGAGGCAGCAGUGGGGAAUAUUGCAACAUGGGCGCAAGCCUUGUGCAGCCAUGGCGCUUGUAUGAAGAAGGCCUUAGGGUUGUAAAGUACUUUCAGCGGGGAGGCGUUACCCGCAGAAGAAGCACCGGCUAACUCCGUGCCAGCAGCCGCGGUAAUUC
rnacentral:rRNA from 1 species